rnacentral:lncRNA from 1 species
AUGGUGGCCACAAAGAAGAUGAAAAAGCCACUGAAGUCAGUCAACUCUAGGCUCAAACUGGUUAUGGAAAGUGGAAAGUACAUGCUGGGGUACAAGCAGACACUUAAAAUGAUCAGACAAGGCAAAGUGAAACUGGUCAUCGUUGUCAACUGCCCAGUCUUGAGGAAAUCUGAAGCAGUGUGUUAUGCCAUGUUGGCCAAAACUGGUCCGUGACUAUAGUGGCAAUAUUACUGAAUUGGGCACAUACUACAGAGUAUGCACACUGGCUAUCAUUGAUCCAGGUGAUUCUGAUAUCAUUAGAAGCAUGCCCGAACAGACUGGUGAAAAGUAA